UGCUGAGUAAAAUACAGGCAUUUUAAUCACAGCUUUGUAUUUAAAUCGGACACCUUUUAUACAUCCUGCAAUUCUGAAGUGCAGAAUCCAAUUUGAAUAGAGCCCAUUACUCAGAUUAUACGAGAUUAAACAUUUACUUCAGGUUUCUUGUAUGUGAAAAUUUGCAUAAACAAUCUUUGAAUAAAUGAGACUGUAAUUUGGCAAAUACUAUCAACAGCAGGAAUACUUGAAUUUAAAUUGUCAUUUAAAAAAAACCUGGUGUGUCUAGUACAUUAACAUCUGCUGAUCCUAUAAAAAUGUCUUUUGAGAGACUUAUUCUACCUUGCAUUCUUCAGUAAGCCAGGGUCCAGUGUUCGCCCAGGGGAAACUGUCUUUAGGUCAGCAUGGAAGUCACCACUGGCCUCAGCUCUGUACUUGCAGAGUUACUUUCCAGUUGCUGGAAUAAAUGAUCUGAACCAAUGCUGUCCUAGUCUCUUGGCAGAGAAGAGGAAGGAGCCCCUCCAAGUGGUGCAAAGGAGAGAAGAUGGUUUCUGUGCUGCUGCUCUUCUGCUCUCACUGCUCAGUGUGUAAGCAAGGAUACAGGAGGCCUCAUGGCACUGUGUAUUUCAGACUUUAAGUUGGUCUUAUUUCUUGCAUGGCUAUAUGGUCCCAAAGAAUUAAAGAUAUUUAUCUGGCCAUACUAUUACACAGUGGCAUGCGAGCUGCCUGGCAUGUUCUGCUGCAUAAUAUGGAGGAGGGCCAACAUACUGUUCACAGCCCUGAGCCAGAACUGACCCUGCUGAUCUGCCCAAGAUCUGCCAGGAAAAGCACUGGUGAAGCGUUCCCUCAUCUACACACAUAGCAGUGACCAGCAGAAACUAACAUAUUCACACUGAAUAGGUGCCAGAAUCCAGCUGCUUUGCUUGCAGGUGGUGGUGUCUCCCCCUCUUCUACCUGUCACCAUUUAUUUCUUUUCAUUUUGCACAUCCUUUGCUUAUUCUUGCUCUUUGCAUCCUGAAGAUUUUCAGGCUCAGUGAAAUUCUCCCUGUGGUUACGUCUAGCUGAGGACUUAGCCCAAAUCAAGUCCCCAGCUACUCAGCCAAGCAAGAACCUUACUGAAGGGGAGUCAAGCAACUGAUUUUAAUGGUUCUAGCAUUCUUACAGGAAAACGGACACAAUUUAUCUGCUAGAUGUUAACAAAGGUAGAGUUAACUGAUCAGCAAAAGGAAGAAGAGGAAAAAUAGUCUGAUCUGCUCCCUUGAAGAUGAAACAGAGCUAACACAUAUAAAAGGGAAAAUAAAGGGAGCCGAGAUGAAAAGAAUGGUAUUCUUACUUGCAGCUUUAUCUCCAGAAAAAGAGAGGCAUCUUAAUCACCCAUUCCAGAAGAUGCAAACCUGACAGCGCUAUUUUUGCUUGGAAUUAGAACUUUCCUCCUCCUUAAUCCAGCCUCUUGAUCCUUUACUUCUUUUGCUAAAGUAGAUUGUUGUAUGUGUGAACAACCUGGGCACUGUGCAGUGACCCAUUCCUCUCCCAGAUGGCUGUGGCCAAGAAGCUGAUCUUGUCCUUUGCUUCUAGCAUCAGGGUUCUCUUAACCAGAGAUCUCCUCUUGUUCCUGUGAAAAAGUUAAAAAAGAAGCAGGGAUUUAGCAGCAGCAGCAUCUCCCAACUAAUUUGUACCUUUUCUAUCAAUUGAUAAUUCCCUUCUACAGGAAGUAUAACUAGAGACAAAACCCAAGUCCGCAUGCAGACUGCUUUUCACCUCCAUAGUGCAUAGAGGAGGAGAAUUACUUCAGAUCAGGGGGUCACCUUCUGUUUUCCCUAGAGAGCCGGUUUCCUGCCUUGGUCUGCUCUGCCUGAGGGAGCUGUGAAAGAGGAGUUGGCCAGACUGGGAGCUGCUGGGCAGGGUCCCUCUAGGAGCAGGGAACUUUAGUCCUGUUGCUUCUGAAUGGCAAAAGCAAAGCAGAAUGGCAUCCUGCUGCUGACAUACCCAAAUGUGACAGCAGGCUUGGCAGGAGGCAGCGAUAACCGCUCUCCUGCUUCUGCUGUGCUAACCCAGGCUGCUUCAAGAGCACUGUAGUUGGGCAGGAGCACGGCUGUUGUUACUGGUAGGACCACCUCCUUAUCUAAUAAAUAGUUUAUUAGUGUUCAAAAGGGCACAGGCCACAGCAGAAUGGCCACUGAUACUCAGAAUCCACUGCCAUUCAGGGUUAAAGUUUCUAUCUGCAAAUGGCUCAGUUGUAAAAGUGAGAAAACUAUGUUGUGUGCAGCAAACCUGGAACUAAAUUGCAGUCCAGAGUACUAGCAGGUUGCUCUGUACUGCAGAAGAAUUUAGGCUGAUGUUGUGACUUUGGAACUGGAACAGCACCCACGUAGUGGGUAGCAUUCUAAAAACAUACCUGCUCUGCACAUUAGUAGCUGUCAUAUUUGCAGGGACUCAUAAUUCUUUUUCCUUCAGAGAAGCAUUACCUAAGCCAUGAUAUGAUCUGCUGUGUAGAGCUGAAAAGGAGUACACGUGACAAGUGAGACAGGUCUUUGAAAGAGUAGGAAUGUUAGCUGGGGAUGCAAGAAAAUAAAUGUCUGGCUUUUAGAAAUCUGAGGUAUAAAAUAGUAUUCAGUGAUAAUUUAAUUCUGUCUACAGAAAUAGCUAGAGCCAAAACCUGGUGAAAAUGGAGUAUUUUGUUGGCUUGUACUGAUUUUUGAGAGUGGGAAACCCUUGAAAAAUGUGAUUUUAAAACCAUAUAUGUAGACGAACAGCAAUAAAUCGUGCUUUGCCUGUAUAUCUGUUCUGCUCUUUCCCCCCCCUUGAUCGACAGGGUAAACAUUUUCCUACAAUAAACCUCAGUAUUUUAAGUUUG